GUGAAAUUACUGAAUUAGACAUUGUCAUUCGUUGACAUCUGUCCAAAUUUGAGGUUUUUUGGUCUUUUUGUUGUUGUUUGUAUUUUGGCCCGUGAUAACUUCUGCAUUAAUUGGUGAUUGACGUUGGCAGUCAGAAAUUAUUAUUCUUCCUCUCCAAGCCAAGCUAUUUUGAAUGUUGGCUGUCCCCUGAAGCAUAGUUGUGGUUAUUUUCUCAGUGCAACCUUCUACUUCUUGACGAAUGUUUGAAUUUUUUUUACUAUUCCUUCUUUUCCUUCAUGAAUCAAUCUUCUUCUUCUCCAAGAAAAGUUACUUUCAUUCUUCUUCCUCCACAAAAAAGGCAACUUUAGAGAACGAUAACAAAACCUUUCGGCCUCAAGAUCUCCUUCAUCAAAGGGUAUUUUUGUACUUUUUAUUCGGUCUCCUUCAUCAAAGGGUAUUUUUCUACUUUUUAUUCGGCGAUAUAUAUCUAGACAUCUGUUCUUAGAUCUUGAGUUGACUUUCUUUUGGGUAUGCGGAGAUUAGAGGAUUUCAAACCCAUAUGACCAAAUGGAUUGAAGUCUGUGGCUGCAUCAUAACAAAAUCAAGUUAUAGCAAUAUUUGUUUGAAAUUUUCAGGAUUGACGGGUACAAUGGCAGAAGCAUUGAUCAUAGGGCUUCCCAUAAUUAUCUGAUAGGAUGGCUAACAAGUUUGAUAAGGAGGUUGCUUUUUGUUCUCAAAUAACUCAAGGUAUCCAAAGUAUAAUAUGUGCUUAAUUUAUUAUUUAAUUUUUUACUUUUAUGAAGUGUGGUUGCUAUGAACUUUCAUAUGAAUUCAUACAAAAUUGGGAACUUUGAGAACUGGAUGAAAAUCAUGGAAUAUGAUUAUAAAAAUAUCACCACAAAAUACCAAAUAUCACCAUGUAAUUCUAAGUAUCUAAUCCUUUUUCAUACGUUUUUCUACUCUAAACAUAAUACCAAAUAUCAUGUAUUAGUUUUAGAUAACCAUUUCAUUUUGUUGUAGUAACCGACAUUCAUGUCAUAGAUUUUAAAUUGUAGCAAAGGUCACCCUCAACACACCAUUAUGUUGAUUUGUGGAAAGGCCGUUGAACUUCAAAGUUAUAUGGAAAUGUCCAACCAAAGGUGAAGAGGAUUCUUUUGUUGGUAACUAUAUUGCAAAUUGUAUAUAUUUAUGUGUGUGGAUGUCAUUAUAUUGAUGCGCACACCCAGCUGUGGAUAAAUCCUAAAGAAGAAAUUUUGCAGUAUGUUGAUAUUGGAGAUCCAAUAGAUGUGACUUUCAGUGUAAAAGAAUUGAAGGUAUGGUAAGCCUAGCCUUUUGUUUGCAAGUUUUUGUUUGACAUAGGUAAGUUUAGCAAAUGAUAUUAGAGAUUAAGUCAAAUGAUAUCAUGUUUUUUAAAUUUUAUCAUGUUAUCUAUCAGAAUUUGUGUUAUUCUUUCUUUCUUUCAUUCUACGAUAAAUUAAAGUAUUAAACUAGACUUGAUAGUUUAAAUAUUUGGAGCAGAUAAUCUUUUGUUAAUCAAAUUUUUCAUUAGCUUUUUCAUUGUGCAGCAAGUGCAUACAAAAGCUUUAGUCCUUUGGAAGAGCAACAUGCACAAGGAGAAACAGUUUUGUAUGAUGAUGAUGGAAGAGAAAUUCAAAGAAUUACAAUGCAAUAAAUUACAAUUCAAACACCUGGUUGAAUUGUCAUAGCAGAUACAAAGUUUGGGGGUGCUCAAACUAGACACUAGGAAUAUUGUCCAAAGCUUUAUUAGCUUAUAAUAUAUUUUGUAACCUUCUCAUCUUUAUUACUAUAAUUAGUGUUGAAGAUGACCGAAAUCCAUGAGUAGAACAAUGUGAAAAUAAAAUGUGUAUCCAACUUAGGAUUUUUUUUUUCAAACAAUUACAGACCAUUGGUUAUGUAUUAACUCAAGUAUGUACAAAU